GAUUAAGUUAUUAAGGGCGCACGGUGGAUGCCUUGGCACUAGAAGCCGAUGAAGGACGUUACUAACGACGAUAUGCUUUGGGGAGCUGUAAGUAAGCUUUGAUCCAGAGAUUUCCGAAUGGGGAAACCCAGCAUGAGUUAUGUCAUGUUAUCGAUAUGUGAAUACAUAGCAUAUCAGAAGGCACACCCGGAGAACUGAAACAUCUUAGUACCCGGAGGAAGAGAAAGAAAAUUCGAUUCCCUUAGUAGCGGCGAGCGAAACGGGAAGAGCCCAAACCAAAAAGCUUGCUUGUUGGGGUUGUAGGACACUCUAUACGGAGUUACAAAGGACGACAUUAGACGAAUCAUCUGGAAAGAUGAAUCAAAGAAGGUAAUAAUCCUGUAGUCGAAAAUGUUGUCUCUCUUGAGUGGAUCCUGAGUACGACGGAGCACGUGAAAUUCCGUCGGAAUCUGGGAGGACCAUCUCCUAAGGCUAAAUACUCUCUAGUGACCGAUAGUGAACCAGUACCGUGAGGGAAAGGUGAAAAGCACCCCGGAAGGGGAGUGAAAUAGAACCUGAAACCGUGUGCUUACAAGUAGUCAGAGCCCGUUAAUGGGUGAUGGCGUGCCUUUUGUAGAAUGAACCGGCGAGUUACGAUUUGAUGCAAGGUUAAGCAGUAAAUGUGGAGCCGUAGCGAAAGCGAGUCUGAAUAGGGCGUUUAGUAUUUGGUCGUAGACCCGAAACCAGGUGAUCUACCCUUGGUCAGGUUGAAGUUCAGGUAACACUGAAUGGAGGACCGAACCGACUUACGUUGAAAAGUGAGCGGAUGAACUGAGGGUAGCGGAGAAAUUCCAAUCGAACCUGGAGAUAGCUGGUUCUCUCCGAAAUAGCUUUAGGGCUAGCCUCAAGUGAUGAUUAUUGGAGGUAGAGCACUGUUUGGACGAGGGGCCCCUCUCGGGUUACCGAAUUCAGACAAACUCCGAAUGCCAAUUAAUUUAACUUGGGAGUCAGAACAUGGGUGAUAAGGUCCGUGUUCGAAAGGGAAACAGCCCAGACCACCAGCUAAGGUCCCAAAAUAUAUGUUAAGUGGAAAAGGAUGUGGCGUUGCCCAGACAACUAGGAUGUUGGCUUAGAAGCAGCCAUCAUUUAAAGAGUGCGUAAUAGCUCACUAGUCGAGUGACACUGCGCCGAAAAUGUACCGGGGCUAAACAUAUUACCGAAGCUGUGGAUUGUCCUUUGGACAAUGGUAGGAGAGCGUUCUAAGGGCGUUGAAGCAUGAUCGUAAGGACAUGUGGAGCGCUUAGAAGUGAGAAUGCCGGUGUGAGUAGCGAAAGACGGGUGAGAAUCCCGUCCACCGAUUGACUAAGGUUUCCAGAGGAAGGCUCGUCCGCUCUGGGUUAGUCGGGUCCUAAGCUGAGGCCGACAGGCGUAGGCGAUGGAUAACAGGUUGAUAUUCCUGUACCACCUAUAAUCGUUUUAAUCGAUGGGGGGACGCAGUAGGAUAGGCGAAGCGUGCGA
rnacentral:rRNA from 1 species